CGCAUUGCAUCGAGCUUUGCCCAAGCACGAUAUGCCCCAUUGAGCGUCCUUAAGUCUUUAGGAAUGUAUAUUCAUUUCUAAGUUCGGGUUUCAUGGCUUCACGGUCACGUUACCUUAGAUGCAUUUACGCGUCGCACUACCGUUGCGCUCCUUGUUGUACACUUCAAGGCGCUUCCUAAUGCGUUAUCGCACUUACGCUCUGAACCUUUGGUGACGAGCAGAACCGCGUUCCGUCCUCGGAUGGUCCGCCCUUCCUUGACUUAACCUCACGGGGGCAAGACGACCCGCUAGACUUAAGCAUAUUAAUCAGCGGAGGAAAAGAAACUAACAAGGAUUCCCCUAGUAACUGCGAGUGAAGAGGGAAGAGC
rnacentral:misc_RNA from 1 species